AUCGCUUCUCGGCCUUUUGGCUAAGAUCAAGUGUAGUAUCUGUUCUUAUCAGUUUAAUAUCUGAUACGUCCCCUACCCGGGGACCAUAUAUUAAAUUGAUUUUUGGAACAGGGAGAUGGAACAGGGGCUUGCUCCGUCCACUCCACGCAUCGACCUGGUAUUGCAGUACCUCCAGGAACGGUGCACUCCUC
ensembl:snRNA U2 U2 spliceosomal RNA